rnacentral:lncRNA from 1 species
CGGCGAGCCGUGGGAGAAGCGGUAAAGGGCGGCGGCGAGGGCAACAUCGGGAGGGAGCGAAGGCGGGAGCUUCGACUGUAGCGAAGGAGCUAGGAGGUCUAGCAGAUUGAGAAACGUAGGCUUCUCCAUCCGGAAGAGCUGGAACCACAGCGGACCUAGGGAAUCUGAGGCUCCGUCGACGGUAGCAGAGGAGCGGGAAUUGAGGUGAUGGUAAAUGGAUGGAGAAGGCAGGAAGGGGAUCUGCAGAGGGAGGGAAUCGAGGAGACGUUGGAGUGAGAGAAGCUGGUAAGCGGGCAGAUCAGCAGCGUUGGCGGAAACGAAGCCUUGUGCC